rnacentral:lncRNA from 1 species
AGAAGGCAAAGGCGCCUCAGCGGGACCUGGGGAGCAGCGGGACCCCCACCCCCAGCGGCACGGCGGGCCCGGGGUCUCCACAGGCAGGCCCGACAGAGGGACGACAGUACACACAGGGCCCUGGCGCUCAGGCUCGGGUGCGUGGCAGUGCCGCGGGCGUCACCGGCGAGGAGGAAGCGGGCGUCACCAGCGAGGCCGCACAUGGCCGGCGGCGCUCAAGCGGAGGGGCGGCCCGGGGCGCGGUACCUGCGGUCGGGCGGCGGGCUGCUGCUCCUGCGAGCCUCCUUUGGCCGGCCGGGACCCCACCGUACCCUCGCCCUCGUCCGCCUCGCUCCCGACUCCUUUCCCUCUCUUUCCCCCUUUUUGCCCCUUCCUCGGCCGUGGCUCCAAGAUGGCGGCGCCGAGACAGAUCACGUGAGCGGCGAGCGGGUCAGCUCCUGUGACGUUCACAGAAUCACCUUGCAGGGAUUGCCUUGUGAUCAAGCGCUUGGUAGCAAGAAGCCUCCAAAACAGAGCUGCGGCACUGGGAGAUUCUGACGGGAUCCCACAGGGAGAAGCACAAUUAAGAAUCUCGUGCAACAGAGCAUCCCUUUGUCCUUGUGAUUAGCGCAAGUGAGGCCAUUCACCCUGGGCAGAAUAGUGCUGAUGCAGGUUCUCUGGAGUUUGGCUUUUUAUGUGCAUAGAACCAUAUUUGCAGAUU